rnacentral:rRNA from 1 species
CGAACGGGUGAGUAACGCGUGAGGAACCUGCCUCAAAGAGGGGGACAACAGUUGGAAACGACUGCUAAUACCGCAUAAGCCCACGGCUCGGCAUCGAGCAGAGGGAAAAGGAGCAAUCCGCUUUGAGAUGGCCUCGCGUCCGAUUAGCUAGUUGGUGAGGUAACGGCCCACCAAGGCAACGAUCGGUAGCCGGACUGAGAGGUUGAACGGCCACAUUGGGACUGAGACACGGCCCAG